ACUACGAAGAGAUGACGUCUUGAAUGAAAGAAAAAUUUGCGCUGCGAAAACUUUCAGCGACAUCAAGGAGAAAUGCAAGGGAAAGCUGAGUUGCGCAGGCCAAGGAAUAUUCAAUUUUCUAAUCCUUGGCCAGAGAAAAUCUCUCAACUGUCUUGCCACAGCCACGAAACUUUUGAAAGUUGCAAGUGGCGAAUUUAUUGUGCCAUUUGACAACUGUCGAUAUUGCACGCCAAACUGGAGCAGUAAACAAAUUUUCAGCACAGCAUCUCGGGGAGCAAGGAAACGAGAGUACACUGACAGAAAAGGUGGCAUGAUGGCGGAGGAAACGCUACCAGUUGGACGCUGAGUUUUGUGGCCAGCGGAAGCGCUGGUUAAAACAAAAGCACGAAAAGCUGAAAAAGGCAGAAGUGGAUGUGAUAAAGGGGAAAUGGCACAGGAAAAACCAAAGCAUAAGGCCACAACAACAGCAGAGGGACUGCUUAAAGGGCCGGCUGGCGAAAAUGAAUGGAAGCAUCUUUGGCCUGCUAAAUUGCUCGAAAAAGGCAAACUAAUUAACCAAAGUUUGACUCAAGACAGGGCCAAGUUCAGGAAUCCGGCACAAAUUGAGCAGAAGAUUUGCGGUUCUGUCCUUCGAGCGCAAAAGCCUCACAACAAACUGGCGCUGACGACCCAAACUGGUUUAGGAAUAUACCUUCGGAAAUGUGCCUUUCCACUCGGUUAUCUUGGAAGUUUGCGACUCGUGCCGUAAUUUCUAUAAUUAUGGCUAUCAAUCAAGUAAAAUCCAUGUAAAAUAUUAAAUACGUAAAAAAAAUGAAAGGCAAUUU
ensembl:ncRNA lncRNA:CR46007 long non-coding RNA:CR46007